GAUAAACGCUGGCGGCGUGCAUUAGACAUGCAAGUCGAACGAACGACCUCGGGCUUGCCCGGGGAAGUUAGUGGCGAACGGCUGAGUAACGCGUAGGUGACCUGCCCUAGAGUGGGGAAUAACUGCCCGAAAGGGUGGCUAAUACCGCAUAUGGUCAUGAGUUCAGUCUCAUGUCCAAAGCCUUCGGGCGCUCUUGGAGGGGCCUGCGUUCGAUUAGCUCGUUGGUGAGGUAACGGCUCACCAAGGCGACGAUCGAUAGGUGGUCUGAGAGGAUGAUCACCCAGACUGGGACUGAGACACGGCCCAGACAACUACGGUUGGCAGCAGUCGGGAAUUUUGCCCAAUGGGGGAAACCCUGAGGCAGCAACGCCGCGUGAGGGAUGAAGGCCUUCGGGUUGUAAACCUCUUUUCUCAGGGACGAUAAUGACGGUACCUGAGGAAUAAGCCACGGCUAACUACGUG
rnacentral:rRNA from 1 species